CGGAGGGACAUUGCGUAGGACGCGCCCCAGGCGCACCCAGAAACCCUUUGUGAACUUAUACCUUACUGUUGCCUCGGCGCAUGCUGGCCCCCUCGGGGGCCCCUCGGAGACGAGGAGCAGGCACGCCGGCGGCCAAGUUAACUCUUGUUUUUACACUGAAACUCUGAGAAAAAAACACAAAUGAAUCAAAACUUUCAACAACGGAUCUCUUGGUUCUGGCAUCGAUGAAGAACGCAGCGAAAUGCGAUAAGUAAUGUGAAUUGCAGAAUUCAGUGAAUCAUCGAAUCUUUGAACGCACAUUGCGCCCUCUGGUAUUCCGGAGGGCAUGCCUGUUCGAGCGUCAUUUCAACCCUCAAGCAUUGCUUGGUGUUGGGGCACUGCUUCUCACCCAGAAGCAGGCCCUGAAAUCUAGUGGCGAGCUCGCCAGGACCCCGAGCGCAGUAGUUAAACCCUCGCUCUGGAAGGCCCUGGCGGUGCCCUGCCGUUAAACCCCCAACUUCUGAAAAUUUGACCUCGGAUCAGGUAGGAAUACCCGCUGAACUUAAGCAUAUCAAU
rnacentral:sRNA from 1 species